rnacentral:lncRNA from 1 species
ACCAAGGAAAAAAGAAUGCCAAUUGAGAUGGGAAACAGCUUGCCUCAAACUAAUUGUAGUCAUGAACCAAUCGUUGCUGCCAUAUGAUCAAAACUCAACCACUAGUUCACAUAACUGUUUUUCUUUAGCCUCAAUUCUUUUGACCCAAUGAUUUAACUAAACGAAAUAUUAUUUCAUUACUUAAUCUAACUGGUCGUUCCACUUGCACAAAAAUUCAUGCUUCUUAUCCACACUACGAGAAAACAUCCAUCCACCAUCUCAUGCACUCCUACUCUAUUGAACUUAACAUCCAUGUAGUUCAUAGAAAAACGUCAAAUUCAAAACAACACACGUCACAUUUCCCGAACAGAUCGCAGCUCUCAUCACAUUUUAAUGGGAUGACAAUAAAUAAAAAUGUCAUUACAAUUUUCAUACAGAAGUUGUGAAAUUAUUC